AUGUUGUGACUCCCCGCUCAGGAUGAACGCUGGCGGCGUGUCUAAUACAUGCAAGUCGAGCGAACUGAUUAGAAGCUUGCUUCUAUGACGUUAGCGGCGGACGGGUGAGUAACACGUGGGCAACCUGCCUGUAAGACUGGGAUAACUCCGGGAAACCGGAGCUAAUACCGGAUAACAUUUUUUCUUGCAUAAGAGAAAAUUGAAAGAUGGUUUCGGCUAUCACUUACAGAUGGGCCCGCGGUGCAUUAGCUAGUUGGUGAGGUAACGGCUCACCAAGGCAACGAUGCAUAGCCGACCUGAGAGGGUGAUCGGCCACACUGGGACUGAGACACGGCCCAGACUCCUACGGGAGGCAGCAGUAGGGAAUCUUCCGCAAUGGACGAAAGUCUGACGGAGCAACGCCGCGUGAGUGAUGAAGGCUUUCGGGUCGUAAAACUCUGUUGUUAGGGAAGAACAAGUACAAGAGUAACUGCUUGUACCUUGACGGUACCUAACCAGAAAGCCACGGCUAACUACGUGCCAGCAGCCGCGGUAAUACGUAGGUGGCAAGCGUUAUCCGGAAUUAUUGGGCGUAAAGCGCGCGCAGGCGGUUUCUUAAGUCUGAUGUGAAAGCCCACGGCUCAACCGUGGAGGGUCAUUGGAAACUGGGGAACUUGAGUGCAGAAGAGAAAAGCGGAAUUCCACGUGUAGCGGUGAAAUGCGUAGAGAUGUGGAGGAACACCAGUGGCGAAGGCGGCUUUUUGGUCUGUAACUGACGCUGAGGCGCGAAAUGGCUGACGG
rnacentral:rRNA from 2 species